rnacentral:rRNA from 1 species
GACGAACCGUGGCGAACGUUGUUCGGAAUCAUUGGGCGUAAAGGGUGCGUAGGCGGCGCGAUAAGUCGGGUGUGAAAUCUCGGAGCUUAACUCCGAAACUGCAUUCGAUACUGCCGGUGCUUGAGGACUGGAGAGGAGACUGGAAUUUACGGUGUAGCGGUGAAAUGCGUAGAUAUCGUAAGGAAGACCGUGGCGAAGGCGGGUCUCUGGACGAGU